AGCUUGUUUACCGGUUCUCCAAUGCUAUUUCUAGAUAUUGGUGAUUACAUUGCUGCUGUGAACGUUCACACAUAGGCCUUUAGUGGACAGGUCUUCGUUUCUCUUCGGGGUAGGAUUGCAAGAGCAUAUGGUAAACUUGUGUUUAACUUGACUGGAAAUUCUUUAUGUACCAUAUAGAGUCACACAGAACAUGUCACUUAAUUCUCUCAACAACUUCAUGAGGUAGGUACUACCAUUAUUCACAUAAUAAUGAGGUUCAGAGAGGUGAAGUAACUUGCCCAAGGUCCCAUCUCUACGAGUGGCAGAGCUAGCAGCCUGGCCCAGGAUGUGUGUCCUAAGGCCCUGGAUGUGCUGCUUCUCACAGCAUUCCUGGGUUUAGCCGUGGGUGAGGCUUGGGUUAGGGGGCAGAACUCUGACCUAGCAGUGUGCCCCAUACAAGUCCCUUAGACUCUGGCACAUCCCUGUCUGCAAAGAGCACCCACAAUUGUAUCACUAAGAAGCUCUGUGUCUUGAAGAAAAUAAAUUGGAGCAGACAUUUGGUGUCCCCUACAACUUUAGCUUUGUGAUCAUUACCAUGCUGUCUGACCUCAGGACCAAGUUUGGUGGAAGAGGAAAGAAUACUCCCACUACCUGUUGAGGCUUUCACCACACAACCAAGUCACACUGCAUGCAUUCAAUGCCUAGUCAUUCAUCCCCCUCUGCUAUAGACUAUUUGUGGCCCUCCCUCAUUCAUAUGUUGAAAUCCUAAUCCCCAAUGGUAUUAGGAGAUGGGCCUUUGGAAGGUGACUAGGUCAUUAGUGUGAAGCCCUCAUGGAUGGGAUUGAUUAGUGCCUUCAUAAAAGAGACCCAGAGAGCCAGCUACUCCUUCUGCCAUGUGAGGACACAGGGAGAAGACGGCCAUCUAUGAACCAGCAUCCUGAAUGGACUGAGACACCUUCUGUCUUGUGGAUGGACUUUUCCAGUGAGGAAACCCAUGCCCAAAUAUCCAGAAUGCAGGAAUCAGAGAGCAGCAGCCUUCACCACCUUGGCCACUUAAGGACUGGGGACAUCGAUGAGGAGGGUUCCUCAGUUUCCCCACCAACUCCACGCUCCCCACACUGGCCAAUGCGGAGAGGAGAGGCCUGAAGGAAGUGAACAUUCUGAGGACAAAGAGGAGGUAGUGAAACCACAAUAGGAAAAAGAACCCAGGGUGCUGCCUGGAUCCUAGUGUCUGAUCCUAGUCUGAUCCUUCCUCAAGUGCCUCCACUUUCAGGCUAGGCAACCUUCUCACUCACAUGGGCCUUCCUGUCACAUUUAGACUGGCACUGCCAGGACAGCUUCAGAGGCAAGACUACCCAGACUGAGUAAGCCCAAGCUUUUUUUUUUUUUUUUUUAAGCCCAAGCUUUUAUUGGGCGUGAUAGCAAGGGACAGCCCAUGCCAUGUGGACAUGGCCAUCAGGGACAGCCCUGGGCCUGCACAGCCAGCCAGUCCUCCUGGCCUGUCUGUGGAGCAGCGAUGCUGUUAUUCCAUCCCACCGAGCCAAUGUGACAGCGGCCAUCCAUCACCCAGUCCCAUCUAGCACAUGUGAACCGGGAUGCAUGUCCACUCCGCUCACUGCCUGCAGAUCAGGGAAUGGUGAGAAGACAGAAGGGAGAAGCGAGCUAAGCGCAGUGAGGGAUCCGAGGAGGAAGACAUGACUUCCUGACAGGAGUUAUGGGAGUGGUGUUAGGAAGGCAGUAGCAUUUGAGAAAGGCCUUGAAGGUGGCACAGGGUAUCAGCAGGUGAGAUGACGGGAGCAGCAGGUACAAAAUCAGGGAAGCAGCAAAGAAAAUAAAGUGCUCAGUGACUGGACACUUGCUGACUCCUCCCCAGCUUCCAUCUCUCCUAUUGUUCCAAACCACUUCUUUGGGGAUCCGCUUACUAUUCUACAUUCAGCUGUGUGUGUUGGGUAGAAAUGACUCCCCCAUGAGCUCCAGAAGUGGGCCCCGAUUGGCUUAAACCAACUGUGUUUCCUGUCCUGGAUUUGGUGAUUGGUUUGGGAGAGGCAUGGGAGCCAGUCAAUGAAUGAUGUGGGGGUUGGGCUGCUACACUCAUUUGGUUACCAAGACAAGGAAAGUAUGGAGUUGCUGGGGGGCUGCCCUGAGGAAGCCAACGAUGUAGCCAAUGCCACAGAAGGCAGAGCAGAGAAACGGAGAGAGUAGUUGCAGAGUGACGCUUUAAGCCAGUGAAUCAAGCUGUGCCCAAAGUCAGCCAUACCUUUGGGCUUUUCAGUUACAAGAGUCAAUAACAUCCAUUUGCUGUUUAAAUCUGUUUGAGUUGAAUUUUCUGUCAUACUGCAACCAAAAGAUGCUUAGCUGAGAAUCCAGUUUGGCUGGAGUGUAGGAGACAUGAGAAGAGAGGCACGAAGAUAGGACUGGCAAGAUGGAGCAGCAACAUUUUACCAGGGGCUUGAAUGACAGGUUGGGGAACUAUUUAUUUCCUCAGGCACUGGGGAACCAUGGAAGGUUUUUUAGCAGAGGCAUGACUGGAUGGCACUGGCUUCCUAGAAUCCUAAAAUACCAUCUGAAUUGGGCCUCACCAGUCCUUACUCCCUACCUCCCCAGCUCCCUCCAGAAGUUAAGCAGCAGAAUCAGGUUAGUAAGAAGGCAUAAUCUGUUCACCUUCCAUGGGCAUGCAGGGCCACCUCACCUGAAGCAAGCUCUGGGAACAUCAGUGGAAGUCUAUGGGGCAGGAGCCCAUGGCGACGGGGACCACCUGAGAGAGCUAGCAGAGGUAGGCAGCGCAGCAGCCCCAAGAGGGGGCCUCCGACCAUGUGAGCUGGCCGCGGUGCGGAAAGCUCACGCCACCUGAGGAGCAACUAUCAGUGGUGCUAGAAGAGCGCCCACAACCAGCUACACAGCCCAUCCAUGGUGACUUGGAGGGCUCAGAGCAUCAAAGAACCAGGGUGGGGGAGCAGACUCCAUAACCCUGCCUCCCCAUGCUAAUCCCCGUCCCCUAAUACCUUCUGCAUGAGACAGAUAACCUGGCCCAGACCCAAGCAGGCCUGUUUCCUGAUGGUAACCUUGUCCCCACCAUAGGUAUCAGCCCAUCCUCUGGUGCCCAAGCUCUCCAGGGUUGUGGGUUCCUGAAGGGCUUGCACGACAGCCUUCAUUCAGUCAGCCUCUGCUGGGGACCCUGCAAGAGGCAGCCAAGCAGAGAUGGGCCCUGGGCAGGCAGCCGGAGAGAGAGGCUGCAUGCCAACAGCAUUAACUGGAGGGCCUGGCAGGAGCUUCCAGUCCUCACUGGCUCAUGGGCACUGCCAAGCAAGGUACCUAUGCUAGAAGACAGUAC